rnacentral:rRNA from 1 species
UACGUAGGGUGCAAGCGUUAAUCGGAAUUACUGGGCGUAAAGCGUGCGCAGGCGGUUGUGCAAGACAGAUGUGAAAUCCCCCGGGCUUAACCUGGGAACUGCAUUUGUGACUGCACGGCUGGAGUGCGGCAGAGGGGGGGAUGGAAUUCCGCGUGUAGCAGUGAAAUGCGUAGAUAUGCGGAGGAACACCGAUGGCGAAGGCAAUCCCCUGGGCCUGCACUGACGCUCAUGCACGAAAGCGUGGGGAGCAAACAGG